UGUUACAAUAGAUUAAAACCUGUCAUAGUAGGUAUGCGGCGUAUGCCCUAUUGUAACAACAUAUUCCUAAUGUAACGCCCAUCGAAAAUAUGACAAGGCGCAAUUUUUUUUUCCAGUUCGCGCCGAGUAUUUUGACAUCAAAAGUUUCAGAAUUAAUUUUGAAAGCCCUCUUUUUCUUUUUCUGUCUUGGUUCUAAACCCUAACUAUAGAAACUUCUAGCUUCCUCUCAAAACAUUCACAACUCAAACAUCUUCAGCAGCUAAAUCGCUCAAAUUCAAAGCUAAUUCAAUCAACAAAGAAAUUGAAUUUCCUCUCUUUACAUCUUGGUUCUAGGGUUCUUCAAGCUUUAGCGGAAGGUGUUUCAGUUGAUACACUUCCAUUAAAAUCAUUUGUUGAAAUUGUUUUUUUUACCGAUUUCCAUUCAAUUUCAUCUCUUUUCGUGGAAGGCGUCGAUCUAGCCUUCUAGGGUUCAAAGAAAGGUGUUUUGGUUGAUAAAUUCCCAAUCAAAUCAGUUGGUACUGCUGUUUGUUUGACCAAAGAGUCUUGUCAUUCCUGACUUUGAAGUAACCCCAAGAGCUGAAUCCAAUGAUCCAAAUGGCGAACGAGAUGGAAGGGUUUCUUCUAAAAUCGUUUCAGAACAUCAGGUAUUAUUUCUUUUAAUUCGUAUACUUUCUUUUUCUUCUCCCUUCUAACUCCAACUUGUUUCCUUCUUCCCUUUUAUCGAUCUCUCUCGUACUCAUUUCCUUGGAAACUAUAUUUUCCAUUAAUGACACCACUCUGUGUAUAUCUACAUGGUGAUGGGUUACUUGAAUGUGAGUACUCUGUAUUUUAAUAUUAUUUUGACGGUAGUUGUUGGGUUUCAAGAUUAUUAAGAAAGGCUCAACUCCUAUUAUCAUCAAAUUAUUGCACACAAUAAAUUAGAAUGUGAUCAGGAUCAAGCUACAAAGUAGAACCAUGAUAAUGCACUAUCAAAUGUUGGAGCUGAAGGAAAUAAUGCCCUUGGUCCAAAUAUGCAUAUAAUAUUAAGUCUAAUAAAUGCGGUUCAGUAUUAAUUAACAAGUUAAUAAUUCAGUGAGAUCAACUGAGCUGAAUGCCUAGCUAGAGGCCGCUUCAGUUCAAGUGGAAUUAAUGAUAUUAAUCCACAGCUUACUCUUGACUGAACCCGUAGGGUCACACAAAUAGUACGUAAACGAAUCAAGUAUUUAAUGGCAUUAAAUACUCCAUCUAUGGAUAUUCGGAAUCGACGAAUCUUGGUUUCAGUGGGAGUCGAGAUCGUCAUAAGCAAGAAAUGAAUAUUUCGGAAACGAUGAUAUUGCCGGAAACGGAAAUAUGGAUCGUAUCGGAAAUAUGAAUAUUAUCCAAGUCGUAGAUGUUGCCGGAAACGGAAACAUGGUACGUAUCGGAAAAUAUUAUUGGAAAUGGAAAUAUUGCCGGAAUUGGUAUUGCCGGAAACGGAAAUAUUGUCAGAAUCGGAAAUAUUAUCGGAAUCGGAAAAUAGUUCCGGAAACGGAAAUAUUAAAUAUUUGUUCGAAACGGAAAUUAAUUCCGGAAUCGGAAAUAUUAAAUAUUUGUCGUAUCGGAAAUGAAUUUCGGAACCGGGAAUUUAAUCGGAAGCGCAUCGUACGAAUUAGCAUCGGACGAGGCUUGCCAGACGAAGGCCCAGCACGAAGCCAGGCCCGCGCCCAGCAAGCCAAGCGCCCAACACGACGGCCACAGCCUCGCCAAGCCCAGAGCAAGGCCAUGCCCAGCAAGGCCGUAGGCGCGCGCGCUGGAGCGUAUGCUCGUGGGCUGCGAGGCAGCGCUCACUCGUGUGGGCCGCAAGGCCUGCGCGGGUGCGUGCGUCCCUCGUGGUCGUGCGACACUCGUGUUCGUUACGAAUCCUAAUCCUAUCGGAAUUCGUGCAAUGAUUAAAUCCUAAUCCUAAUAGAUUAAAUUUAUUAUUUAGAGUUCAAAUAGGAUUUUAAUUAAUAAAUUCAUAUCCUACUAGGAUUAUAAUUCUUUUCCAUAAACUCUAUAAAUAUAAGCCUAGGGUCACAUAUUUAACAAACGAUUAUUGAAGUAUUCAAGGUAAGAUUUUUAAGCAAAAAUCAGCCAAACACUUACAACCCAAAAUAGCCGAAAAUCCUAAGUAACCUUAAGGGCGAUUCUAGUUGGUCAAGCUUAAGACGGAUCCGGACGUGUUGUGGACUAUCUACGGAUGGACGACACUUGGAGUCCUAAAGACUUGUUCUUGUUCGGUUCGGGCGCAGCUAGGGAGGGCACGCUACAAAGUGUAUGCAUCUGAAUUAUGAUAAAUGAUUAUGUGUAAAUAAUAUGUUUCCUGACUUUAUGGUUUUUCCGCAUGAUUUAUGUUUAUUCAUAUGUAUCAUAACCUAACAGUGGUAUCACGAGCCUCUUAUUAUUUUCAUAAUUUAAAUUGCAUGAACAUGGUUAAAUUUCACAAAUUUGCAAAGAAUUAAAGGGGUGAUUAAUUUCCGUAAUUAAUUGCAAAUUGCGUUUAUUUAAUUAUAUGUACGCAGUUUUUUGGCAGUUUCUUCGUUCCUCAUCCAAAUUGGGUGAUUUUUGUGUCAAUUCCGCAUGUAAAAAGCAUUCUAAAAAUUUGACAAAUUUUUUUUUCCCGCCGAAACCCAGAUUUCCCAAAUUCGGAGCCUAACUAUGACUUUUCGGAGGUUUUAGUUUUUCGAACGCAAAAGUUUGUAAAUUUAAGAUGUUAAAUUGAAUACUUGCAAUUCUUGUUGAUAAAUCUUGAGUUUUCGAUUGACCUACAGUAUAUGUUUAACAAUUAUGAAUGCCUAGACUUGUUAAUUAUACAACCUAAUUUGUACUUAUGAUUAAUUUGUUGAAAUUCGAAUAAUUUAGAAUUGAUUUGUUUUUUAUAAUUAAUUAGUAAUUUAAUUAGGUACCAAUGAAUAAAAUCCACCAUAAAAAUUGUUAAUUUAUGUUAAAUUUUAAAUUUUUAUGACCUAGAUUUGAAUCCAUGUUAAUCGGAAAUUAAUUGAUUAAUAAAUUUUCGAUUUUUCGCCCUAAAAUUAUGAAAUUAAUAUGAUUUAUUAAUUUGUCAUUAAUUUUGGAAAUAAAAGUUUUAAUUUUUAUGCAAUUCGCUAAUAAAACAUGCACGCACAAAGCAAUGGACGCUACGUGUUACCCUUAAGGGGUGUUGUAUAGUGCGGACAUGCGACGACGAGCAAGGGAGCACGUCGCCCAUGCGGUACGAUGCAACGAGCAAGAGUCAUGGCGCACGAGCACAAGGCAGCACGCUGCCCUGUGUCGAGUGCUGUGUGCAUAUGGGCGAGUGGGCAAUGGCGAAGGGCCAAGGCGCAAGCCAUCGGGCAGACGCGUGUGGGCAGCAAGCGUGCUGCGCCACAGCGCGCGCUGCCACGCCCAGCAAGCAAGCAGGCGCAACGAGCGAGCGGGCGCGCGCAGCGUGGCUUGCACUGCUGCGUUGCGUGUGGCCUGCUUGCGUAUUGCUAUACGAACAGUCGAGGGGCGCUAAGCCUCGUGCACUCGAUGGGGCUUGGGCGCAAGCCCAAGUGCCUCGUCGUGUUACGAUUGAGUCGUUCUUAAAUUUAUUAUUGAAUUUUCAGUUUGGAAACGUUUUAAUUAAUUUUAAAAUUAAUAAUUUAAAUUGUUUUCUUGGAUUUUAAUUUUGAAUAUUAUAAUUAUUAUAAAUUUUAAUUUAUUCUAAUUAUGUUACUAAAAUUAAAACCUUGAAUUAAUUUAAAUUCGACUGAAAAUAAAUUAAAUAAGUGGAUUCAAUUAUAAAUUUAUAUGAGAUUUAAAUUUUAAUUAAAUUUGUAUGUUUCCGGUUAGACUAGAAAUACAUUUUUAUGUUUAAAAUUAAUAAAGCAUAUGAAUUUAUUAGUUUAAGUGGGAGCAAUUUUAGUCAUAAAAUCUUGAUUAGGUCUACAAAUUCUUUAAGGUUAAACAACUUGAUUAGAAUUAAUAAGGACUGAAUAAUUGGUAGAUUAUUGGUGACCUUGAUUAAUUGCUGCAAAUAUUUAUGUGAUGCAUAAUGUGUUUUACUAACCAGCUAUGUGGGCCAUUAAUGAUAGUGAAUGGGUGAAUGGUAUAUAUUGUAUAUGUACUGUUUUGCAGGUUAUGAAGUGACUAGUAUGACCCAAAUAGGAUAGAAAAUAUGGUCUGCGUACCAUUAAUUUGAAUGUAAUUGGUCUAAAGCAUCAAAUUUAUUUUUCAACUAAAAUAUGGUCUGCGUACCAUCAAAUAGUUGUAAUUAGUUUAAUUAUAGCUUAUCCUAUUUGAAGAAAAUGGCACGGAGAUUUUCAAGACGGACUUUGAAGUUGUAAAUUCAAGAUGAAGUCGGGCCAUACUAGAUCACAUUUAUCUUAUGCAUGCGUGAAGUUAUUUAUUGCUUUUAAAUAUGUCUUAAAUAUGCAUGAGAUUGUGGCUUGACUAUGUUGCAUGAUUAAGGAUUUUAGUUCACUUAAAAUCUAACCAACAUAGUAAGAGCCUUAAGUUUCAAACUUAAAAAUUGAGUUAAAAGGUGCCAUGCUUAAAUAACA